rnacentral:rRNA from 1 species
UACGAAGGGGGCUAGCGUUGUUCGGAAUUACUGGGCGUAAAGCGCACGUAGGCGGUGUUCCAUGUCAGAGGUGAAAGCCUGGGGCUCAACUCCAGAAUUGCCUUUGAAACGGGGACGCUUGAGUCCGAGAGAGGAUGGCGGAAUUCCUAGUGUAGAGGUGAAAUUCGUAGAUAUUAGGAAGAACACCGGUGGCGAAGGCGGCCAUCUGGCUCGGUACUGACGCUCAGGUGCGAAAGCUAGGGGAGCAAACAGG